AGAGUUUGAUCAUGGCUCAGAAUCAACGCUGGCGGCGCGCUUAACACAUGCAAGUCGCACGAGAAAGUGGAGCAAUCCAUGAGUAAAGUGGCGUACGGGUGAGUAACACGUGGAUCAUCUACCUCUUAGUGGGGAAUAACCCUGGGAAACCGGGGCUAAUACCGCAUAAGCCUGAGAAGGGAAAGCAGCAAUGCGCUGAGAGAGGAGUCCGCGGCCGAUUAGCUAGUUGGUAGGGUAAAGGCCUACCAAGGCAAUGAUCGGUAGCCGGCCUGAGAGGGCACACGGCCACACUGGCACUGAAACACGGGCCAGACUCCUACGGGAGGCAGCAGUGGGGAAUCUUGCACAAUGGAGGAAACUCUGAUGCAGCGACGCCGCGUGAGCGAUGAAGCCCUUCGGGGUGUAAAGCUCUUUCGACGGGAACGAUAAUGACGGUACCCGGAGAAGAAGCUGCGGCUAACUACGUGCCAGCAGCCGCGGUAAUACGUAGGCAGCAAGCGUUGUUCGGAAUUACUGGGCGUAAAGAGUGUGUAGGCGGUUCUCUAUGUUCGGUGUGAAAUCUCCCGGCUUAACUGGGAGGGUGCGCCGAAAACUGGAGGGCUUGAGUAUGGGAGAGGAAAGCGGAAUUCCUGGUGUAGCGGUGAAAUGCGUAGAUAUCAGGAGGAACACCUGCGGUGUAGACGGCUUUCUGGACCAUCACUGACGCUGAGACACGAAAGCGUGGGUAGCAAACAGGAUUAGAUACCCUAGUAGUCC
rnacentral:rRNA from 1 species